CUACGAAGGGGGCUAGCGUUGUUCGGAAUUACUGGGCGUAAAGCGCGCGUAGGCGGGCUGGUCAGUUAGAGGUGAAAUCCCAGAGCUUAACUUUGGAACUGCCUUUAAUACUGCUAGCCUAGAGACCGGUAGAGGUGAGUAGAAUUCCUAGUGUAGAGGUGAAAUUCGUAGAUAUUAGGAAGAAUACCUGUGGCGAAGGCGGCUCACUGGACCGGAACUGACGCUGAGGUGCGAAAGCGUGGGGAGCAAACAGGAUUAGAAACCCGAGUAGUCC
rnacentral:rRNA from 1 species